GCUAGCGAUAGGCUUAACACAUGCAAGUCGAGGGGCAGCAUGAUCUUAGCUUGCUAAGGUUGAUGGCGACCGGCGCACGGGUGCGUAACGCGUAUGCAACUUGCCUUACAGAGGGGGAUAACCCGUUGAAAGACGGACUAAAACCGCAUACACUUGUAUUAUUGCAUGAUAUUACAAGGAAAUAUUUAUAGCUGUAAGAUAGGCAUGCGUCCCAUUAGCUGGUUGGUGAGGUAACGGCUCACCAAGGCGACGAUGGGUAGGGGAACUGAGAGGUUUAUCCCCCACACUGGUACUGAGACACGGACCAGACUCCUACGGGAGGCAGCAGUGAGGAAUAUUGGUCAAUGGGCGAUAGCCUGAACCAGCCAAGUCGCGUGAAGGAAGACAGUCCUAAGGAUUGUAAACUUCUUUUAUACGGGAAUAACGGGCGAUACGAGUAUUGCAUUGAAUGUACCGUAAGAAUAAGCAUCGGCUAACUCCGUGCCAGCAGCCGCGGUAAUACGGAGGAUGCGAGCGUUAUCCGGAUUUAUUGGGUUUAAAGGGUGCGUAGGUUGUUCGGUAAGUCAGCGGUGAAACCUGAGCGCUCAACGUUCAGCCUGCCGUUGAAACUGCCGGGCUUGAGUUCAGUGGCGGCAGGCGGAAUUCGUGGUGUAGCGGUGAAAUGCAUAGAUAUCACGAGGAACUCCGAUUGCGAAGGCAGCUUGCCAUACUGCGACUGACACUGAAGCACGAAGGCGUGGGUAUCAAACAGGAUUAGAUACCCUGGUAGUCCACGCAGUAAACGAUGAUUACUAGGAGUUUGCGAUAUACCGUCAAGCUUCCACAGCGAAAGCGUUAAGUAAUCCACCUGGGGAGUACGCCGGCAACGGUGAAACUCAAAGGAAUUGACGGGGGCCCGCACAAGCGGAGGAACAUGUGGUUUAAUUCGAUGAUACGCGAGGAACCUUACCCGGGAUUGAAAUGUAGAUGACGGAUGGUGAAAACCGUCUUCCCUUCGGGGCUUCUAUGUAGGUGCUGCAUGGUUGUCGUCAGCUCGUGCCGUGAGGUGUCGGCUUAAGUGCCAUAACGAGCGCAACCCACAUCGGUAGUCGCUAACAGUUUUCGCUGAGGACUCUACCGAGACUGCCGUCGUAAGGCGUGAGGAAGGUGUGGAUGACGUCAAAUCAGCACGGCCCUUACAUCCGGGGCGACACACGUGUUACAAUGGGAGGGACAAAGGGCAGCUACCGGGCGACCGGAUGCGAAUCUCUAAACCCUUCCCCAGUUCGGAUCGGAGUCUGCAACUCGACUCCGUGAAGCUGGAUUCGCUAGUAAUCGCGCAUCAGCCAUGGCGCGGUGAAUACGUUCCCGGGCCUUGUACACACCGCCCGUCAAGCCAUGGGAGUCGGGGGUACCUGAAGGGCGUAACCGCAAGGGGCGCACUAGGGUAAUACCGGUGACUGGGGCUA
rnacentral:rRNA from 1 species